GGAGAUAUAGCUCAGUGAUAGAGUAGUUGCCUCACAUGUAUAUGGCUGUGGGUUCAAUCCCUUGUAUCAUUA
rnacentral:tRNA from 1 species